UAGUUAGCACACAUAGAAUUUAAUGACAUGCAUUUUUUUUAAAGAGUAUGCAUUUAUCUUUCCAAUGAUGUAUGAUGAUAUAGUGGGUAUGCGCUUGAUCAUGGUAAAAAUUGAUAUCGAACUUCAACUAUUUUAUAUGUAAUAAAGAAGGAAAUUAAUUGCGCAUGCGUAACCUUUAAGCACAUCCAGCAUUAUUUGUCGUCUGCCAGAAUUUUGACAAUUGACCAUCAAAAACUCUCUGUAUUGCAAAACAUAACUGCCAGAUGUCAUUUGACCCAAAUUAGGGCUGUUUGCAAUUGGGCUGUUGCACUUGGGGUCAUAAGGGGGGUCAUGCUGGAAAAUCACACCGAAACCUGUUCCGGAGACAUAUUCUAAGACUACUUAAACACUCUGUAUUGUUUUUCAGUGACAUUUUGACAUUAAUUUGCAUCAAUCUCAAUAAUGAACUUUAUGCAUGUGUUUACUUCAUCUGUAUGUAUUAUUAUUGUUUACUUUUUGAGCCUUUUACUGUUAAAAAUGCCUGCCAAGUUUGGACCGACACUGCUAUCGGCCUUCACCUUCAACCUCGUCAGGCAGAUCUACUCAGAAUAACACUACUUUGCCUUAUUUUCAUGUUUGGAUAUCUUGCAGGGUUUAAGUAAAAUCAAGUAUUCAGCAAAAACACAAAAAUGCUAAUAGUAUUAUGCUUUCUUUCCUGGAAGAAUGUUGUUGUGAUAGACCCUGUGUGAAAAACACCAGGGAAUCUGUAUUUAAGUGACCUCAAUAUUAUGCGUAAACCUAAGUGUGCAUUUGUAGGCGGUGUCGAAAUGGGUCUUUAGCUCUGCCUGAACUGUCGUCCAAUUGGUUUACAAGUCCGGCUGAAGUGACAGGCCAUCAAAAACUGUACAGCAUGACUGAUUUGGAGACGGCCCUCAACACUCGCCCAGUCGUGUCGAGAGGAUCGGUGUCUUUGCAGAUUACCCGGGCCAGACUGACACUUUUCGGAGCCUGUCCAAGACGGAACUCGAGCCGAGGAAUCAUAGGUCCAGAAGCUGUCAUGGGUUCCUUGAAAUGCUGCAGAAGUUGAAAUUGAGUGCAGGGAAUGGUUUCAAACAGCCUCGUGACGGUGGCAGAAAAGCAAGGGCUGACAAGAAACGUGAUGAAGCGUCGCAAUUUAUUAUAACUCGUUUGUUUAAACUGUGAAAUAAGUCUUCCACUGGAAUCAUUUAUUAUGUAAAGGUCUCUUUGAACUUGUAAUUACUCAUUUUACACAACUUUUAUGCAUAAUGAUGGAAACAGUGUUUUUAUUAUUAUUAUUUUUAGCCUUUAUUACCUAAUGAGCUUAAAUUUUGUAUGUGUUACUUUUCAAUAUAUUCGUGUUAUAAUCAUUUUAAUUUGUCUUUUUUUUUAAAGAAAACUCAGUCGCUUUGUCAUUAAACAGUUUGUUUUAAAAUGUUAAAUUUUUAGUUGCUGUACCAGUAGAAUUAUAUAGACUUUUUACAUAAUUUGUUUUCCAUUUGUUAGCUUUGGUAUACAUGUAUAUAAAUAUGUUUUACACCUUUAGAAUAAUAAUGUUGGAAUGAGUAAUACAUAAGCAUAUUGUUUUACAUUUUCAGUUAAGUUAGUUAGUUAUUAACAAAUACUUUAAUUGUUCCAGUUUGGUGGAAUGGAAUGUUAAAAUAAAACUUUGUUUAAAGGAAAUUUGUCUAUCAUUUAUUUUAAGGAACUGGUUAAAUGGUAGGCCCUUAAUAAUACCAACAACAAUUACAAAUAAUUGAGGCCAGACAGGGACUGGGGAAUGGUUAAAAGUACCAAUACUAUGUUGUUGUUUUUGUUGUUGCUGGAUAGCAAUUUGCUGAAUUUACUUGUUACAAUUUUGUGUGUAGCGUAUGACUAGUAUGUUGUAUUAUGCUGACUAGUCUUGUUACUAUUUUUUGUGUAUCGUAUGACUUAAUUGUUGUAUUUUGCUGACUAGUCUUAUUUGUAACCAUGUUUUGUGUAUCGUAUGACUACUAUGUUGUACUUUGCUGACUAGUCUUACUUGUUACUUUUAUGUGUAUCGUAUGACUUCACUGUUGUAUUUUGCUGACUAGUCCUAUUUGUUACUAUGUUUUGUGUAUCGUAUGACUACUAUGUUGUACUUUGCUGACUGGUCUUCUUUGUUGCUAUUUUGUGUGUAUCAUAUGACUACUAUGUUGUAUUUUGCUGACUGGUCUUCUAUGUUGCUAUUUUGUGUGUAUCAUAUGACUACUAUGUUGUAUUUUGCUGACUAGUCGUACUUGCUACUAUUUUUUGUGUAACGUUUGACGACUAUGUUGUAUUUUGCUGACUAGUCUUACUUGUUACUAUUUUUGUGUAUCGUAUGACUACUAUGUUGUAUUUUGCUGACUAGUCUUAAUUGUUACUAUUGUAUGGGUAUCGUACGCUAUCCAGUUUAAAGAAAUGGUAAUUUUAUUAAUUGCCAGGGUAUAUAGACCAGUUUUGAUAAUAUGGGUGAUAUGAACCAUUUAUACAAGUAUGUUUGGUAAUUUUCCAUGUAUCCAUUAUGCCUGUUGGGUACAUUCGUUUUUUCAUAAUUCUCAAUUUUAUUUUCAUUUGCUGAAUAUUCUAUUACCAAAAUACAAUACUCAAGUAAUUUGGUCAUUUAACAUUUUGUUUCAAUAUGUUACUUUUUCAGUUUCUGUACCUGUAGAACUAUAGAGUCUGUUUAAAUAAUUUCUUUUACAUUUGUUGUUAGUCAAUGUAUAUAUUAAUAAAGUUUACACCAUUAGAAUCAAAAUGUUGGAAUUAGUAAUAAAUCAGUUUAUUAUUUUCACUUAUUUUCAGUUUCAAGACAGUAGUAUAAUUAGCAAAUACUGUGUUCCAGUUUGGUUGAAAAGAAUGUAAAAAUAAAAUGUUGUUUGAAGAAAAUGUUCUUUCAUUAAUAAAGAAACUGU